rnacentral:rRNA from 1 species
UAGGGAAUAUUGGGCAAUGGGCGCAAGCCUGACCCAGCAACACCGCGUGAAGGAAGAAGGUCUUCGGAUUGUAAACAUCUGUUGUAAGGAAAAAAUAAAUGAUGGUACCUUACAAGAAAGCCCCGGCUAACUAUGUGCCAGCAGCCGCGGUAAUACAUAGGGGGCAAGCGUUGUCCGGAAUCAUUGGGCGUAAAGGGUGCGUAGGCGGCCUUGUAAGUUAAAUGUGAAAUCCUGCGGCUUAACCGCAGAACUGCAUUUAAAACUGUGAGGCUUGAGUAUGGAAGAGGUAAGUGGAAUUCUCUAGUGUAGCGGUGGAAUGCGUAGAUAUUAGGAGGAACACCAGGGGCGAAGGCGGCUUACUGGGACAUUACUGACGCUGAGGCACGAAAGCGUGGGGAGCAAACAGG